GUCCCGACGGUAAACGAUGGGCACUAGGUGUCGGAGGUAUCGACCCCUCCGGUGCCGCAGUUAACACAUUAAGUGCCCCGCCUGUGGAGUACGACCGCAAGGUUGAAACUCAAAGGAAUUGACGGGGGCCCGCACAAGCGGUGGAGUAUGUGGUUUAAUUCGACGCAACGCGAAGAACCUUACCUGGGCUUGACAUGUAACGGACAUGGUUAGAGAUAACCACUCGUCUUCGGACGUCGUUGCACAGGUGCUGCAUGGCUGUCGU
rnacentral:rRNA from 1 species